CGGAUUAACAAGUCCCUUGUGAAAUCGGGCGGCUUAACCGUUCGGCUUGCAAGGGAAACUGUUAAUCUUGGGACUGGCAGGCGUCAGGGGUACUCCGGGGGUAGCGGUGAAAUGCUAUAAUCCCUGGGGGACCGCCAGUGGCGAAAGCGCCUGACGAGGCCAGAUCCGACGGUGAGGGACGAAAGCCAGGGGAGCGAACCGGAUUAGAUACCCGGGUAGUCCUGGCCGCAAAGGAUGUGGGCUAGGUGCUCGUCGUUCCUCGAGAACGUUGGGUGCCGAAGGGAAGCCGUUAAGCUCACCGCCUGGGAA
rnacentral:rRNA from 1 species